UACGUAGGGGGCUAGCGUUGUCCGGAAUCAUUGGGCGUAAAGCGCGUGUAGGCGGUCCGGUAGGUCCGCUGUGAAAGUCGAGGGCUCAACCCUCGAAUGCCGGUGGAUACUGUCGGGCUAGAGUGCGGAAGAGGCGAGUGGAAUUCCUGGUGUAGCGGUGAAAUGCGCAGAUAUCAGGAGGAACACCUAUUGCGAAGGCAGCUCGCUGGGACGUUACUGACGCUGAGACGCGAAAGCGUGGGGAGCAAACAGG
rnacentral:rRNA from 1 species